UUACGUUUCUGCCACGUCUGAGAAAAUAUAUAUACAAUUUAUUUUUUCUUUUUCUUCUUCUCUCUUCCCUCUCGCUGCCCCGUUGCGACUCACCGUUUGAACGAGAAACCCAAAAAUCAUCAAUUUCAUCUCCUUCUCCAAAUCAACACAACCAUACCUUCCAAAAAUCUUAAUCCGCACCCGAACCCACGAACCCAGUUUGGGUUUGACGUUCCCGGCGACUUUCAUAAGUUUUCCGGUGGCGGCCGGCCCUGCAACCACAUCUAUUCGACUCAGGAGAGUCCCAACAACAACAUUCGAGUUUUGCAUGCUCGAAUCUGCCCCAAGAACGAGGAGUUCCAUAAACCAGCUAGCGGUGGCGGUGGGUUUUUCCGACGAAGAUCUUAGUUUUCUCUGACGGGUUUCAGGCCUUUCCAACCUUUUUUGGGUCCGGCGAAGUUUGUUCUGCUGCUGGGCUUUGAGUAUCAAUUCAUUGGGGAUUCUGAAAUCAAUUAACUGAGGAACGAAGAAGUAAAAAGGGCAAGGGAGCUGUUGAGAUGGUUCUCUUAUGAUGUAUUCUGAUGGUAUCCCUCCUCAAUUCAAAGUAAAAGAUCUUAGAUUUGAAUUCAUGGAUGGCGAAUUCGAUACCAAAUUAGACUGCUUAUUAUGUGGGUUAGCCAAACUCGGUCUUACUUUAGUAUAAAAAUAUUGAUGUAGCAAAAAAAAAUAAUAAUAAUGAUGUAUCUGAUUUUAUUUUGGUGGGUCAUGAAUUCAAUUUCUACAUGGGCUCAUGAGAAGUAAUCUCUCAUGACGGUUUGGAAAUGAUAAUUUGUUGAGAAACUUUUUUUUUA